ensembl:misc_RNA Metazoa_SRP Metazoan signal recognition particle RNA
GCCGGGCGCGGUGGCUCACGCCUGUAAUCCCAGCACUUUGGGAGGCUGAGGCGGGCAGAUCACCUGAGGUUAGGAGUUCUGAGAUCAGCCUGGCCAACAUGGUGAAACCUCGUCUCUA